UAUAAGGUCUAAUCUGCCCAAUGAGGAAUUAAAUGGCCGCGGUACUUUGACCGUGCAAAGGUAGCAUAAUAAUUAGUUUUUUAAUUGAAAGCUGGAAUGAACGAUUUGACGAGAAAAUUUCUGUCUCAAUUUAAUUUAAUUAGAAUUUUAUUUUUAAGUAAGAAAGCUUAAAUUUUUUUAAAAGACGAGAAGACCCUAUAGAGUUUUAUAUUAUACUUUAUGUUAAUUUUUUAGAAUUGUCAUAUUAACUUAUUUUAUUAUAUUUUAUUGGGGCGAUAGAAAAAUUUAAUUAACUUUUUUUAGGUUUUUACAUUAAUUUAUGUUUAAUUGAUCCAUUUUUUAUGAUUAUAAGAUUAAAUUACCUUAGGGAUAACAGCGUAAUUUUUUUUAGAGUUCUUAUCGAAUGAAGAGAUUGCGACCUCGAUGUUGGAUUAAAAUUAAUGUUUGGUGUAGGGGCUAAAUAAUUGGGUCUGUUCGACCUUUAAAAUUUUACA
rnacentral:rRNA from 1 species